rnacentral:rRNA from 1 species
AGCAGUCGCGGUAAUUCCAGCUCCAAUAGCGUAUAUUAAAGUUGUUGCAGUUAAAAAGCUCGUAGUUGAACUUCGGGAUCAAUGGAUUGGUCAUGCCGAUGGUGUGUACUGGUCAUAUUGGUUCUCACCUUCUAAGGAACCAUAAUGUCAUUUAUUUGAUGUUGUGGGGAAUUAGGACCGUUACCUUGAAAAAAUUAGAGUGUUUAAAGCAGGCUAACGCUUGAAUACAUUAGCAUGGAAUAAUGAAAUAGGACAUCGCAUUCUAUUUUGUUGGUUUCUAGGAUCGAUGUAAUGAUUAAUAGGGAUAGUUGGGGGCAUUAGUAUUCAAUUGUCAGAGGUGAAAUUCUUGGAUUUAUUGAAGACUAACUACUGCGAAAGCAUUUGCCAAGGAUGUUUUCAUUAAUCAAGAACGAAAGUUAGGGGAGUCGAAGACGAUCAGAUACCGUCGUAGUCUUAACCAUAAACUAUAGCCGACUAGGGAUCGGAUGAUGUUGAUUUUUUAAUGUA